rnacentral:tRNA from 1 species
UAGCUCAGUCAGUUGAGCAUGGUCCUGAUAACACCGAGGUCGCGGGUUCGAUUCCCGU